rnacentral:lncRNA from 1 species
CAUCACACAAGGCUGAGUGGGAAAAUACUUUCUCUUGAGAUUCUAUUUAAAAAUCAAAAGUAGAACUUUAUGAUAUCAUUUUUGACAAUGCUGUACAACUGUGGCCCUUCCCAUCUGUCUGCUCACCAAAGACAUGGAGAUCUGGGUUUCCCUUAGCACAGAGCAAAUCAGCCAAAGAGCCUGAGGCCUGGGUAGCCUGGGGAAGAGAAGCGGUCUUAAGGGGAAGAAUUUCGAUCAAGUAAUCCUGGAGUAUUGAGCCUGGGUUCCAUGGGAGUGCUACCAAGUCCAACAACAAGAAAGAAAAAAGAAUGUGGAAGGAAGUAAGGAUAAUCAAAGAUAAAGAAUUUAAAUUUUAACGAGAUAAAAUUCCUGUGUAACAAUAAAGCAAGAACAAAAACUCUAAAAGAACAUAGAUGGAUUAUUCCUACAUUGCAUAGGCUACCUUCUCCUGCCACAGAUACUCUAUCCCAUUUGCUGUCAUCCAACGACUAACACCGUUUUCACUUCAGAACGUCAAGCCUUUUCUGUUCUCUUCAUGGCCUCCUCCCAUUAAAGCUGAAAGUAUCUGCUAUCAGUCAUUUGUCCUAACUGAGGAAGAAACUAUCUUCCAGAGGCAAAGUACAUCGUCCGAGGUCACACAGCUUGCCAAAGGCACAACUAGGUUCUCAACACAUGUUCAACUAACUCCAGAUAUGGAACUCUUCCAUUAAAGCACAAAAAUCUGAACUUUUUGUUUUUAAAUAUAAUUGUUUUUAUUUUCCAUGAAAUCUAGUUUCCCUUAUUAUUGCAUUCAAUUCCGAAAGGGUAAU